GCAAACUUGGUCAUUUAGAGGAAGUAAAAGUCGUAACAAGGUCUCCGUUGGUGAACCAGCGGAGGGAUCAUUAAAGAGUUUUCGUAACUCCCAAACCCAUGUGAACUUACCUUCUGUUGCCUCGGCAGGUCGUGUCUACCCUGUGGUCACCUACCCUGUAGGUGACUACCUGGUAGUCACGGGUUUGCCUGCCAGUGGCCCGUUAAAACACUGUUUAUUAUAUGUUAUUCUGAUUUUACAACUAAAUAAGUUAAAACUUUCAACAACGGAUCUCUUGGUUCUGGCAUCGAUGAAGAACGCAGC
rnacentral:misc_RNA from 1 species